rnacentral:rRNA from 1 species
AUUUGGUCGUAGACCCGAAACCAGGUGAUCUACCCUUGGUCAGGUUGAAGUUCAGGUAACACUGAAUGGAGGACCGAACCGACUUACGUUGAAAAGUGAGCGGAUGAACUGAGGGUAGCGGAGAAAUUCCAAUCGAACCUGGAGAUAGCUGGUUCUCUCCGAAAUAGCUUUAGGGCUAGCCUCAAGUGAUGAUUAUUGGAGGUAGAGCACUGUUUGGACGAGGGGCCCCUCUCGGGUUACCGAAUUCAGACAAACUCCGAAUGCCAAUUAAUUUAACUUGGGAGUCAGAACAUGGGUGAUAAGGUCCGUGUUCGAAAGGGAAACAGCCCAGACCACCAGCUAAGGUCCCAAAAUAUAUGUUAAGUGGAAAAGGAUGUGGCGUUGCCCAGACAACUAGGAUGUUGGCUUAGAAGCAGCCAUCAUUUAAAGAGUGCGUAAUAGCUCACUAGUCGAGUGACACUGCGCCGAAAAUGUACCGGGGCUAAACAUAUUACCGAAGCUGUGGAUUGUCCUUUGGACAAUGGUAGGAGAGCGUUCUAAGGGCGUUGAAGCAUGAUCGUAAGGACAUGUGGAGCGCUUAGAAGUGAGAAUGCCGGUGUGAGUAGCGAAAGACGGGUGAGAAUCCCGUCCACCGAUUGACUAAGGUUUCCAGAGGAAGGCUCGUCCGCUCUGGGUUAGUCGGGUCCUAAGCUGAGGCCGACAGGCGUAGGCGAUGGAUAACAGGUUGAUAUUCCUGUACCACCUAUA